UCCCUAUGGGGUGCAGCAGGCGCGAAAACUUUACAAUGCGGGAAACCGUGAUAAGGGAACUCCGAGUGCCCGUAAGAUCGGGCUGUCCAUCUGUUUAAAUAACAGGUGAAGAAAGGGCCGGGCAAGACCGGUGCCAGCCGCCGCGGUAAUACCGGCGGCUCGAGUGGUGGCCACUAUUACUGGGCUUAAAGCGUUCGUAGCUGGUCUGUUAAGUCUCUGGGGAAAUCUACUGGCUUAACCAAUAGGCGUCUCAGGGAUACUGGCAGACUAGGGACCGGGAGAGGUGAGAGGUACUCCAGGGGUAGGAGUGAAAUCCUGUAAUCCUUGGGGGACCACCUGUGGCGAAGGCGUCUCACCAGAACGGCUCCGACAGUGAGGGACGAAAGCUGGGGGAGCAAACCGGAUUAGAUACCCGGGUAGUCCCAGCCGUAAACGAUGCGCGUUAGGUGUAUCGGUGACCACGAGUCACCGACGUGCCGAAGAGAAAUCGUGAAACGUGCCGCCUGGGAAGUACGGUCGCAAGGCUGAAACUUAAAGGAAUUGGCGGGGGAGCACCACAACAGGUGGAGCCUGCGGUUUAAUCGGACUCAACGCCGGAAAUCUCACCGGACAAGACAGCUGAAUGAUAGUCGGGCUGAAGACUCUACUUGACUAGCUGAGAGGAGGUGCAUGGCCA
rnacentral:rRNA from 1 species